rnacentral:rRNA from 1 species
AAACUAACAAGGAUUCCCCUAGUAACUGCGAGUGAAGCGGGAAAAGCUCAAAUUUAAAAUCUGGCGGUCUCUGGCUGUCCGAGUUGUAAUCUAGAGAAGUGUUGCCCGCGCUGGACCGUGUACAAGUCUCCUGGAAUGGAGCGUCAUAGAGGGUGAGAAUCCCGUCUUUGACACGGACUACCAGGGCUUUGUGGUACGCUCUCAAAGAGUCGAGUUGUUUGGGAAUGCAGCUCAAAAUGGGUGGUAAAUUCCAUCUAAAGCUAAAUAUUGGCGAGAGACCGAUAGCGAACAAGUACCGUGAGGGAAAGAUGAAAAGAACUUUGGAAAGAGAGUUAAACAGUACGUGAAAUUGCUGAAAGGGAAACGCUUGAAGUCAGUCGCGUUGGCCGGGGAUCAGCCUCGCUCUUUUGCGUGGUGUUCUUUCCGGUCGACGGGUCAGCAUCAAUUUUGAUCGCUGGAAAAAGGCCUGAGGAAUGUGGCAGCUCCGGCUGUGUUAUAGCUUCUGGUCACAUACAGCGGUUGGGAUUGAGGAACUCAGCACGCCGCAAGGCCGGGUUUCGACCACGUUCGUGCUUAGGAUGCUG